UACGGAGGGUGCAAGCGUUAUUCGGAAUUACUGGGCGUAAAGCGCGUGUAGGCGGGAAGGUAAGUCUGAUGUGAAAGCCCCGGGCGUCAACCUGGGAACGUAGCAUUUGUUGACUGCAAGGCUAGAGUACGGCAGAGGGGGAGUGAAUUCCGCGUGUAGCAGUGAAAUGCGUAGAUAUGCGGAGGAACACCAAUGGCGAAGGCAAU
rnacentral:rRNA from 1 species